UACAGAGGUCCCAAGCGUUGUUCGGAUUCACUGGGCGUAAAGGGUGCGUAGGUGGUCAGGUAAGUCUGAUGUGAAAUCUCUGAGCUCAACUCAGAAAUGGCAUUGGAUACUAUUUGGCUAGAGGGUCGGAGGGGGGACUGGAAUUCUCGGUGUAGCAGUGAAAUGCGUAGAUAUCGAGAGGAACACCAGUGGCGAAGGCGGCUCUCUGGAACGCAACUGACGCUGAGACGCGAAAGCGUGGGGAGCAAACAGG
rnacentral:rRNA from 1 species